rnacentral:rRNA from 1 species
UACGGGAGGCAUCAGUGGGGAAUAUUGCACAAUGGGCGCAAGCCUGAUGCAGCCAUGCCGCGUGUAUGAAGAAGGCCUUCGGGUUGUAAAGUACUUUCAGUCGUGAGGAAGGUGUUAAGGUUAAUAACCUUAGCAAUUGACGUUAGCGACAGAAGAAGCACCGGCUAACUCCGUGCCAGCAGCCGCGGUAAUACGGAGGGUGCGAGCGUUAAUCGGAAUUACUGGGCGUAAAGGGCACGCAGGCGGUUAAUUAAGUUGGAUGUGAAAUCCCCGGGCUUAACCUGGGAAUGGCAUUCAAGACUGGUUAGCUAGAGUCUUGUAGAGGGGGUAGAAUUCCAUGUGUAGCGGUGAAAUGCGUAGAGAUGUGGAGGAAUCCGGUGGCGAAGGCGGCCCCUGGACAAAGGCUGACGCUCAUGUGCGAAAGCGUGGGGAGCAAACG